UAUCUCUGUAGAGUCUGCAUAUCAAUAAGCGGAGGAAAAGAAACUAACUAGGAUUCCCUUAGUAACGGCGAGUGAAGCGGGAAGAGCUCAAAUUUGAAAUCUUCAAGGUUUACCUUGACGAAUUGUAGUUUAAAGAAGUGUUUUCUGUUGGUGUUUUGGUAAAAGUUCUUUGGAAUAGGACAUCAUAGAGGGUGAGAAUCCCGUAUUUGACCAUUACUUCCAGCGUUGUGAUACACUUUCAAAGAGUCGGAUUGUUUGGGAAUGCAUGUCCAAAAUGGGUGGUAAAUUUCAUCUAAAGCUAAAUAUUGGCGAGAGACCGAUAGCGAACAAGUACCGUGAGGGAAAGAUGAAAAGAACUUUGAAAAGAGAGUUAAACAGUACGUGAAAUUGUCAAAAGGGAAGCGUUUGACACCAGUGUUGUUUUCUCGAAAAUCAAUUAAAAAAAGUUGGAUUUUGUAUUGUUAAGACCUUAUCAGCUUACUGUACUCUUUUCUUGCUUUUUUUAAUGCACUUUCCGUUUAACAAGUCAAGCAUCAAUUUCUUUUGUUGUAAAAGAGUCAUUGGAAGGUGGCUUUCACUUCGGUGAAAGUGUUUAUAGCCUUUGGCUUCUGCAAUCGGAGAGAUUGAGGUCUGCAGCGUAGAUCCUUCGGGGCUAGAUACGUAGAUGCUAAGUUAUAGUUUUUUAUAGACAACUUGUUGACUAUAAUUAAUCAUGUAGCUUACUCGUUUGCGCUAUUUUACCUACGCUUAGGAUGUUGACGAUCAGCUGAGCGC
rnacentral:rRNA from 1 species